UCAAGUGUAGUAGUGAUGCCAUGUUCGGGUGUAACAAGCUUAGGGGGGACUGCAUGGACGACCGGAGCAGCAUUCCGUCUCUUCCGAGCCAUUUCCGGCGUCAAUUGCUCCUCGCUAAUGUACGCCGGCCAUCAAUCAAUUUCAAUAUUUAAAAGUACUUUUACACCAUAAGAUCAUUAUUCAAAGCCUUUCUCCCAUUUAAGUGUGUGAAAGUUCCCUAUGAGCCUCAAAGGGACUCCAGGCAAUGCUCACACCCAAUGUAUUAUCAUAUUAGGACAAAUUCAGUAUGGAAGGGUCAGUCCUCAAGUGUCCAAGUUCAAGGGGAAUCAAAAGGUCCCAACGCAAGGCUCACAAGAGGGGGCAGAACUUAGAGACUAAGAAAGUGUGCAAGUUCAGAAUAGAACGCUAAAGUGAAAAGUGGUGGGAAACAACUACAAAUAAACAAAUAUAGAGGGUUCAGGGAAUAGAGAGAUUGUAAAGGGCAUAUUGCUUAGGCAAGGGCAUGCUUUAGGCAUGCCCAGUAAUGGAGGAUGCUAGCAUACCAUAAGCCUGCUAGAACACACAUUAUUAGAGGCUAGGAUCCCAAGGGAUCAAGUUUAAUUCAUGGGUAAUAAUUUACAUAUUCUCAUGCCCCAAACCAUAGCAUGGACACAUAGGGGGCAGGGUUUUGGGAUUAAUAACAGGACAUGCAAAAAGAAAUCAAUAAUGUUGAACCACACAUAAGCAGCAAGCAGAAAGGUUACAAAAGCAGUAAAUAAACACAUUGUUGAGGUGCUAAAAACCCUUAUAUCGGGACAUAACAGUUUCAAAGAAAAAAGUAGAGAAGCGCAGGCAGUAGAUCUUGUAAAUAGGCAACAAUACAAGCAACAAAAGAGAAUAUUUUUGAGUGUGAAUGUAAGUUUAGAAAGACUACUAGUGAUGGAUGCUUUGUUAAUGAAAGAGUCGUGUAUUUAUAGGGUGAAAAACAUGCAGAAAAUAAGGUAAGAGAAUAAUUAAGGAAUUGGACAUCAACUAAGAAUCAAUCAAGACUUCCUUUAAUCAAGGAAUUCAGGCUUAAACAGUAAAAGUUAUUUAAGGAAAGAAAUAAGAUAAGCAUCUUGUGCAAAGUAGGCAAUUAGGGAUAAAUACAUAGGGAUUUAGUUAAGGAAAGAAAUUUUCAAUACACUGUUAAAACAAAUAAGGUAAGAAUCAAUUAGUACACAGUAAAUCAAAGGGGUCAUAGAUUUUGUAAUCAUUGGUCCAUGAAUGAACCAAGUCAGAAAAGUUAAGGAAAGUUUUUACUCAAAUCGAGUAACAGGAAAGUCAGCAAACAAGAAAAGAAAUCAAUCAAACUUAUACAAAGGAAAUAUGAAAUCAAUCAAAACUGAAAGCCAUUUUUAGAGGGAAGUUCAGCACAUAUAAAGAGGACACAAAUAUCCUAGGCUGAAUUUAGGGCAAAUAAAAGUGUCAUGCCAUUGAAAAAUUAGUAGAAGAGAGAUAGUAUCAAAUAGCAUAUAAAGGGUACAGCACAAAGACCUUAGAGGAGUUUAGUAGAAAAUCAUAACCGCUUAAAGAAACAGAUAUUUCAAUACUCAGUUCAGAGACCCGAAAUAGAUCUAAAGGAGUUAGGGUUUCUGGAAUCAAAGAAGUUUAAGCAAAUCAUAUAGCCAAUGGUCUCAAAACUCAGUUGAACCCCUAAAUUCUAGGGUUACUGCCAUUCAUCAAGUGCAGCGACGAAAGGACAAGUGAUUAAGGGAAAAGAUACUAAUUGAAACAUAUUCAGAGGUCUCAUAAAGGAACUGAGACCUCUUAACAUGCUCUUUCAGUAAAAGGAACUCAUGAGAAACAUAGUAAAAGAACAACAUGCGAAACCAGUUGAAUAACUAGUAAAAGAAACUAAUCAGAAACCUAGUAGAAGAAACUAAUAAGAACACAGUAGGAGAAACAUAGUAGAAGAAACACACAAAGAACAUAUUAGAAGAAUUUGAUAAGAAUAUGUUAGAAGAAACUUAACAAGAACACAGUAGGAGAAACAUAGUAGAAGAAACACACAAAGAAAACAAUAAAAGAAACUAAUAAGAACAUGGUAUGAGAAACUUAACAAGAACGCGGUAAGAGAAACUUAGUAGAAGAAACACACAAGAAAAAAAAAAAGAGAAAUAUCUAAAUAACUCAAAAAAUCCUAGAUAAAAAAAGAUAAAGGUUUUGACAGCAUAAUUUUAAAAGAAAUCUCAAGAAACUGUUUAAAAGUUCUGGGGAACACGGAUCUAGACCAGAUCUAAAUAAAUCAGAAGAAACUCAAAAGCUAAGGUUUUUGAGAGGAACCCAAAUGGUGAGAAAGACUUGGAUCGUCGCUAAUCUAAGUAGGAGGAGUCGAGGCCAAGCUCGAACAGACAUGGCUUGCCGGAGAUGGCCUUGGAACUUGAAACAAACAAAGGUCUGGACCCAGCUCUUUCGUGGUCAAGUCAUGAGACUUCAAUAACCAAGCAUGGAGGAGCCAUGGAAGGUUGGUGGGUGGUGAAACCACCAUGGAUUCAGGCAAGAAAAUGGAUGGAGAAGGUGAGUGAAACUCAUCGGAGCGGAGGGGGAGAAGGAAGGUUCUAGGGAGAACCAGAGAUAGAGAGAUGGAGAGGAGAGUUGGUU
rnacentral:lncRNA from 1 species